GUCCUAGCGGUCCAGUGGUUAGGACUCCACACUUUCACUGCUGAGGCCUCAGGUUCAAUCCCUGAUUGGGGAA
rnacentral:tRNA from 1 species